rnacentral:rRNA from 1 species
GAUGAACGCUGGCGGCGUGCCUAAUACAUGCAAGUCGAGCGAACAGGCGAGGAGCUUGCUCCUCUGACGUUAGCGGCGGACGGGUGAGUAACACGUGGAUAACCUACCUAUAAGACUGGGAUAACUUCGGGAAACCGGAGCUAAUACCGGAUAACAUGUUGAACCGCAUGGUUCAACAGUGAAAGACGGUCUUGCUGUCACUUAUAGAUGGAUCCGCGCCGCAUUAGCUAGUUGGUAAGGUAACGGCUUACCAAGGCAACGAUGCGUAGCCGACCUGAGAGGGGGGAAGGCCACACGAGGACGGAGACAGGGUAGAGACGCAGACGGGAGGGAGCAGGAGGCAAGCUUCCGCAAUGGGCGGAAAAUUGACGGAGCAGAGACGAGGGAGGGAUGAAGGUUUUCGGAGAGUAGAACGCGGUGACUAGGGAAGAAAACAUGUGCAAGUAAAAGUGCGCAUCGUGACGGGAGCUAAUCAGAAAGCCACGGCCAACUACGUG